AUGAAGGAGGUCCGCCGCCCGUCUUUGCCUCCUCGCUGCGUCCUUGUUGCUGCUCCUCCUCUCUCUCUCUCCGCACCUAGCAGUGCAGCAGCCGGGACAAGGGGAAGGAGCAGCUCAACCCGGCUCCAUCUCUCUCUGGAUGAGCAGGUGGCGAGGGAAGCCGCCACAGCUAGCGGCGGUGCUGCACAGGAACGUCCACCUCCAGGUCUCCAUCCUGUCUCAGAUCCCUUUCCGUUUCAGUGUUGUUCUUUUUUCUCUUGGUGUGCGCUCUCCUGCAUCUCGCGCGGCAGGGAGUGGUGGUGA
rnacentral:rRNA from 1 species